GCCAGCAUGGUGUAAUGGUUUGAGUGCUGGACUAUGACUCUGGAGACCAAGGUUCAAAUCCUCCCUUGGCC